GACGAACGCUGGCGGCGUGCUUAACACAUGCAAGUCGAACGGAAAGGCUCCAGCUUGCUGGAGUACUCGAGUGGCGAACGGGUGAGUAACACGUGGGUAAUCUGCCCUGCACUCUGGGAUAAGCCUGGGAAACUGGGUCUAAUACUGGAUAUGACCUUUCUCCUUAUGGGGUUUGGUGGAAAGUUUUUCGGUGUAGGAUGAGCCCGCGGCCUAUCAGCUUGUUGGUGGGGUGAUGGCCUACCAAGGCGACGACGGGUAGCCGGCCUGAGAGGGUGAUCGGCCACAUUGGGACUGAGAUACGGCCCAGACUCCUACGGGAGGCAGCAGUGGGGAAUAUUGCACAAUGGGCGGAAGCCUGAUGCAGCGACGCCGCGUGAGGGAUGACGGCCUUCGGGUUGUAAACCUCUCUCAGCAGGGACGAAGCGUAAGUGACGGUACCUGCAGAAGAAGCACCGGCUAACUAUGUG
rnacentral:rRNA from 1 species